rnacentral:rRNA from 1 species
AACGAACGCUGGCGGCAGGCUUAACACAUGCAAGUCGAGCGCCCCGCAAGGGGAGCGGCAGACGGGUGAGUAACGCGUGGGAAUCUACCCAUCUCUACGGAAUAACGCAUGGAAACGUGUGCUAUACCGUAUACGUCCUUCGGGAGAAAGAUUUAUCGGAGAUGGAUGAGCCCGCGUUGGAUUAGCUAGUUGGUGGGGUAAAGGCCUACCAAGGCGACGAUCCAUAGCUGGUCUGAGAGGAUGAUCAGCCACACUGGGACUGAGACACGGCCCAGACUCCUACGGGGGGCAGCAGUGGGGAAUAUUGGACAAUGGGCGCAAGCCUGAUCCAGCCAUGCCGCGUGAGUGAUGAAGGCCCUAGGGUUGUAAAGCUCUUUCACCGGUGAAGAUAAUGACGGUAACCGGAGAAGAAGCCCCGGCUAACUUCGUGCCAGCCGCCGCCGUAAGAC